rnacentral:lncRNA from 1 species
UCUUCUAUUCAGCUCUCUAACAGACCUGAUAGUUGGAUCUGGAAAUGAAGUUCUAAUCAUAUAUUCUCAGUAAAGAGUUGUUACUUUUUCUUAAUGCAUGGGGGGAUUAUCUCCCACAUUAGUAAGGAGAUAUGGAAGCUUCCUCUUCCUGAAAAAGUGAAGCUAUUUACUUGGCUAUGUUACAAUAAUAAAAUAUUGACAGCAGAAAACUUGGAGAAGAAAGGUAUCACAGGCCCAAGUCAUUGCCCUUUAUGCUUCAAUAGCUGUGAAACCACUGACCAUCUCUUCGUAUAAUGUUCAUACUCUAGAAAAUGCUGGUUUCUUCUAUUACAAAGCUUCAACAUUAAGAGUUUGCCUUCAUCAGUUUAUGAGCUCUGGAAUAGAUGGAAGAAGCAGAACUCCGAACAUAUCCCAUCAUCUUCUUUGGCAAACAUUGUCGCCACUACUUGUUGGUUCCUUUGGAAGGAAAGGAAUCAGAGAGUUUUUCAGUUUGAAGCAAAAUGUGUAGCAGAAAUGGUAAGAAAAAUUGCAAGAACGCUCCAAAGUUGGUUGGUACCGGUUGGCAGCAACUACACUGCAAUUGUUGAACAAUUCAUCGAAACUGAAGAGACUUUUCCAAACAACUAAGAGCAUGGAAAAAAGAGAUACCUGAAAAGAUACUCUUAUUGUGAAUGCAUUCCUAAAUUUGAUUGUACUAUUUGGUGAAGAGAAAGAGUCAAGAAGAUAGCAUAAGCAAAGCGGCGUUUCGUUUUCAAAGUGGGCAUGCUCUGUAAUGCAUGCAGGAAGAAGGUUUUUAAACUGCUUCAUUAGAUUGAAAGUCUGGAGGAAGCAUAAAAUCAUUUCUCGUCUUUUCC